AUGACACUCCAGGAGCUGCUAUUCAGACAAUGCUGCUCACCCACUUUCCAAGUUUGCCUAUGAGGAUGUUUGACAUACAGCACUGUGCUUUGCAGGCCAAGGAAGAGAGGCCUCUCCACAGUCUGCUGCAGUGCUGCUACCUCAGGAACUGAAAUCUUAACCUUUACAAGUGGAACUGUAAUUUCCAGUCUUUCUAAGAAGCAUCCAUUCCUUUCAGCUCUGCAACUCCUGGUUCACAUCAGUCCUGUUAAAGGCAAGUAGACUGAGGGCAGACAAGAAUGGUAGAGGACAUAGACAGAACAGCUGAUGCCAUGUCAUCAAAGGAUAUCUCAUAUAUAACUAUCAUGCUCAGCAAUUAAACUGAAACGAUGUUUUCCAGUGGCACCUUUGCUCAGGGAUUGGUUGAACAGCAGGCAGCUGGUGGUGUGUGAUUGCUCCUUCAUCACUUGAAUUUUAUCAUAUUUUGUUUUCUUUCUCCACUCCACCUAUUAAAAUGUCCUUAUCUCAA